rnacentral:lncRNA from 1 species
AACUCUGUCUGUGGUCCUUUGACAGGACAAUGUGACUGUGUCCAACUGUGAUCUUCUGCUCAUACGUAAUGUGAGCAGUGAUGAUGCCGGGCUCUACAGCGUUGCCGUGUCUGUGGACGACUACCCCAGUCUGCAGAGACAAGCUGUGGUCAAUGUGACCGUACACAGGGUUGUUGCUCCAACCAGCUGGGACCAUUUGGACGCCACCUCCAUCAUCGCAACAUCGGGGGACCCUGUCCAAGUUAGCACAAGCACUGCCCUGACAAUGGUCACCUCAGAUAUGACGUGGACUGACAUCAGCACAACCGCAAUGGAGCAUGACUGGAAAACUGUGGAAGAGACUUUCUCCUCUGAAAAUGCAACUACAGAGCAGUUUGACAGCAUGAAUACAACAACAUCAGAGGACAACACCACAGACUCAAAAGCUAAUGGAUUUACAUUCAGUUCCGUGCUGCCCUGGUUCUCGCAGAACAUCACAUCAGCGGGAACACACGAGAGCAUGGUCCCCAACACUGGGACAUCACCACGCAGCAUCAUUGCAAGUGUACCCACCACCUCAGCACCAAAUAAGAGGAACAUGCUGUGGGCCAUCUUCCCUUUCCUGGCGUUAGCAGUCAUAGCCACUGUUCUGUACAUGAAAUACAGAAUCCAGAGGAGGUGAGCUAUUCUUUCUCUUUCCAGUCUUCCAUUGGCAUUGCUGUGCUGAGUAGAUUAAAGAACAGGGUACAACUUUAACACCGGCAGCAAAUAUAAAUAAUCUGGAAUUUCAUUCCACAC